GUGGGGAAUUUUGGACAAUGGGCGCAAGCCUGAUCCAGCAAUGCCGCGUGCAGGAAGAAGGCCUUCGGGUUGUAAACUGCUUUUGUACGGAACGAAACGGUCCGGGUUAAUACCCUGGGCUAAUGACGGUACCGUAAGAAUAAGCACCGGCUAACUACGUGCCAGCAGCCGCGGUAAUACGUAGGGUGCAAGCGUUAAUCGGAAUUACUGGGCGUAAAGCGUGCGCAGGCGGUUUUGUAAGACAGGCGUGAAAUCCCCGGGCUCAACCUGGGAAUUGCGGUUGUGACUGCAAGGCUGGAGUGCGGCAGAGGGGGAUGGAAUUCCGCGUGUAGCAGUGAAAUGCGUAGAUAUGCGGAGGAACACCGAUGGCGAAGGCAAUCCCCUGGGCCUGCACUGACGCUCAUGCACGAAAGCGUGGGGAGCAAACAGGAUUAGAAACCCCUGUAGUCC
rnacentral:rRNA from 1 species